UGGGGAAUUUUGCGCAAUGGACGAAAGUCUGACGCAGCAACACCGCGUGGAGGAUGAAGGUCUUCGGAUUGUAAACUUCUGUUAAUCGGAAAGAAAGUGCGAUAAGUAAUAUGUAUCGCAUAUGACGUUACCGGUUUAGAAAGCCACGGCUAACUUCGUGCCAGCAGCCGCGGUAAUACGAAGGUGGCAAGCGUUAUUCGGAAUGAUUGGGCGUAAAGGGCGUGUAGGCGGCUCGAUAAGUUUGUUGUUUAAUUCUCCGGCUUAACUGGAGGGAUGCAUCAAAUACUGUCAGGCUAGAGUAUGAUAGAGAAAAGCGGAAUUCUCGGAGUAGCGGUUAAAUGCGUAGAUCUCGAGAGGAACGCCGAUGGCGAAGGCAGCUUUUUGGAUCAUUACUGACGCUGAGGCGCGAAGGCGUGGGGAGCAAACAGG
rnacentral:rRNA from 1 species